rnacentral:rRNA from 1 species
CCCUUAGAUGUCCUGGGUCGCACGCGUGCUACACUGACGCCUACAGCGAGUACUUCCCAGCCCCGAGAGGUGGCUGGUAAUCAGCAAUAGGCGUCGUGAUGGGGAUAGAUCUUUGGAAUUAUGGAUCUUGAACGAGGAAUGCCUAGUAAGCGCAGGUCAUUAGCCUGCGCUGAUUAAGUCCCUGCCCUUUGUACACACCGCCCGUCGCUCCUACCGAUUUCGAGUGGUCCGGUGAAUCUUUCGGACUGCGCGCGGCCUCGUGCCGUGUCGCGGAAAGUCAGGUAAACCUUAUCACUUAGAGGAAGGAGAAGUCGUAACA